UUUGUCAGUGAUGAUUCUCCAGUUAUUAGUUUUGAGUUUAACUACCAUGAGGAUACUUAACAUGCACUACCAUCUGAGACGGG
ensembl:snoRNA SNORD33 Small nucleolar RNA Z195/SNORD33/SNORD32 family